GACGAACGCUGGCGGCGUGCCUAAUACAUGCAAGUCGAGCGGAUUUUCAAGAAGCUUGCUUUUUGAAAGUUAGCGGCGGACGGGUGAGUAACACGUGGGCAACCUGCCUGCAAGACGGGGAUAACUCCGGGAAACCGGGGCUAAUACCGGAUAAUAUCUUCCUUCGCAUGAAGGAAGGUUGAAAGGCGGCGCAAGCUGCCGCUUGCAGAUGGGCCCGCGGCGCAUUAGCUAGUUGGUGAGGUAACGGCUCACCAAGGCGACGAUGCGUAGCCGACCUGAGAGGGUGAUCGGCCACACUGGGACUGAGACACGGCCCAGACUCCUACGGGAGGCAGCAGUAGGGAAUCUUCCGCAAUGGACGAAAGUCUGACGGAGCAACGCCGCGUGAGCGAAGAAGGUCCUCGGAUCGUAAAGCUCUGUUGUCAGAGAAGAACAAGUACCGUUCGAACAGGGCGGUACCUUGACGGUACCUGACCAGAAAGCCACGGCUAACUACGUG
rnacentral:rRNA from 1 species